GGAAAUAAAUAAAUACCAAUGAUAAAUGUCAUAAAUGUAUUAGAUUCGCAUUUGCCGCUUUAUGCCAGGUCGUCC
rnacentral:sRNA from 16 species